rnacentral:rRNA from 1 species
GGGUUGUGAGGUUAAGCGACUAAGCGUACACGGUGGAUGCCCUGGCAGUCAGAGGCGAUGAAGGACGUGCUAAUCUGCGAUAAGCGUCGGUAAGGUGAUAUGAACCGUUAUAACCGGCGAUUUCCGAAUGGGGAAACCCAGUGUGAUUCGUCACACUAUCAUUAACUGAAUCCAUAGGUUAAUGAGGCGAACCGGGGGAACUGAAACAUCUAAGUACCCCGAGGAAAAGAAAUCAACCGAGAUUCCCCCAGUAGCGGCGAGCGAACGGGGAGCAGCCCAGAGCCUGAAUCAGUGUGUGUGUUAGUGGAAGCGUCUGGAAAGGCGCGCGAUACAGGGUGACAGCCCCGUACACAAAAAUGCACAUGCUGUGAGCUCGAUGAGUAGGGCGGGACACGUGGUAUCCUGUCUGAAUAUGGGGGGACCAUCCUCCAAGGCUAAAUACUCCUGACUGACCGAUAGUGAACCAGUACCGUGAGGGAAAGGCGAAAAGAACCCCGGCGAGGGGAGUGAAAAAGAACCUGAAACCGUGUACGUACAAGCAGUGGGAGCACGCUUAGGCGUGUGACUGCGUACCUUUUGUAUAAUGGGUCAGCGACUUAUAUUCUGUAGCAAGGUUAACCGAAUAGGGGAGCCGAAGGGAAACCGAGUCUUAACUGGGCGUUAAGUUGCAGGGUAUAGACCCGAAACCCGGUGAUCUAGCCAUGGGCAGGUUGAAGGUUGGGUAACACUAACUGGAGGACCGAACCGACUAAUGUUGAAAAAUUAGCGGAUGACUUGUGGCUGGGGGUGAAAGGCCAAUCAAACCGGGAGAUAGCUGGUUCUCCCCGAAAGCUAUUUAGGUAGCGCCUCGUGAAUUCAUCUCCGGGGGUAGAGCACUGUUUCGGCAAGGGGGUCAUCCCGACUUACCAACCCGAUGCAAACUGCGAAUACCGGAGAAUGUUAUCACGGGAGACACACGGCGGGUGCUAACGUCCGUCGUGAAGAGGGAAACAACCCAGACCGCCAGCUAAGGUCCCAAAGUCAUGGUUAAGUGGGAAACGAUGUGGGAAGGCCCAGACAGCCAGGAUGUUGGCUUAGAAGCAGCCAUCAUUUAAAGAAAGCGUAAUAGCUCACUGGUCGAGUCGGCCUGCGCGGAAGAUGUAACGGGGCUAAACCAUGCACCGAAGCUGCGGCAGCGACGCUGAUGCGUUGUUGGGUAGGGGAGCGUUCUGUAAGCCUGUGAAGGUGUGCUGUGAGGCAUGCUGGAGGUAUCAGAAGUGCGAAUGCUGACAUAAGUAACGAUAAAGCGGGUGAAAAGCCCGCUCGCCGGAAGACCAAGGGUUCCUGUCCAACGUUAAUCGGGGCAGGGUGAGUCGACCCCUAAGGCGAGGCCGAAAGGCGUAGUCGAUGGGAAACAGGUUAAUAUUCCUGUACUUGGUGUUACUGCGAAGGGGGGACGGAGAAGGCUAUGUUGGCCGGGCGACGGUUGUCCCGGUUUAAGCGUGUAGGCUGGUUUUCCAGGCAAAUCCGGAAAAUCAAGGCUGAGGCGUGAUGACGAGGCACUACGGUGCUGAAGCAACAAAUGCCCUGCUUCCAGGAAAAGCCUCUAAGCAUCAGGUAACAUCAAAUCGUACCCCAAACCGACACAGGUGGUCAGGUAGAGAAUACCAAGGCGCUUGAGAGAACUCGGGUGAAGGAACUAGGCAAAAUGGUGCCGUAACUUCGGGAGAAGGCACGCUGAUAUGUAGGUGAAGCGACUUGCUCGUGGAGCUGAAAUCAGUCGAAGAUACCAGCUGGCUGCAACUGUUUAUUAAAAACACAGCACUGUGCAAACACGAAAGUGGACGUAUACGGUGUGACGCCUGCCCGGUGCCGGAAGGUUAAUUGAUGGGGUCAGCGCAAGCGAAGCUCUUGAUCGAAGCCCCGGUAAACGGCGGCCGUAACUAUAACGGUCCUAAGGUAGCGAAAUUCCUUGUCGGGUAAGUUCCGACCUGCACGAAUGGCGUAAUGAUGGCCAGGCUGUCUCCACCCGAGACUCAGUGAAAUUGAACUCGCUGUGAAGAUGCAGUGUACCCGCGGCAAGACGGAAAGACCCCGUGAACCUUUACUAUAGCUUGACACUGAACAUUGAGCCUUGAUGUGUAGGAUAGGUGGGAGGCUUUGAAGUGUGGACGCCAGUCUGCAUGGAGCCGACCUUGAAAUACCACCCUUUAAUGUUUGAUGUUCUAACGUUGACCCGUAAUCCGGGUUGCGGACAGUGUCUGGUGGGUAGUUUGACUGGGGCGGUCUCCUCCUAAAGAGUAACGGAGGAGCACGAAGGUUGGCUAAUCCUGGUCGGACAUCAGGAGGUUAGUGCAAUGGCAUAAGCCAGCUUGACUGCGAGCGUGACGGCGCGAGCAGGUGCGAAAGCAGGUCAUAGUGAUCCGGUGGUUCUGAAUGGAAGGGCCAUCGCUCAACGGAUAAAAGGUACUCCGGGGAUAACAGGCUGAUACCGCCCAAGAGUUCAUAUCGACGGCGGUGUUUGGCACCUCGAUGUCGGCUCAUCACAUCCUGGGGCUGAAGUAGGUCCCAAGGGUAUGGCUGUUCGCCAUUUAAAGUGGUACGCGAGCUGGGUUUAGAACGUCGUGAGACAGUUCGGUCCCUAUCUGCCGUGGGCGCUGGAGAACUGAGGGGGCUGCUCCUAGUACGAGAGGACCGGAGUGGACGCAUCACUGGUGUUCGGGUUGUCAUGCCAAUGGCACUGCCCGGUAGCUAAAUGCGGAAGAGAUAAGUGCUGAAAGCAUCUAAGCACGAAACUUGCCCCGAGAUGAGUUCUCCCUGACUCCUUGAGAGUCCUGAAGGAACGUUGAAGACGACGACGUUGAUAGGCCGGGUGUGUAAGCGCAGCGAUGCGUUGAGCUAACCGGUACUAAUGAACCGUGAGGCUUAACCUUACAACGCCGAAGCUGUU